rnacentral:rRNA from 1 species
GUACCUACGGGGCGCAGCAGUGUGUAAUCUUGCACCAUUUUUUAAACCCUGAUGCAGCGACGCCGCGUGAGCGAUGAAGUAUCUCGGUAUGUAAAGCUCUAUCAGCAGGGAAGAAAGUGACAGUACCUGACUAAGAAGCCCCGGCUAACUACGUGCCAGCAGCCGCGGUAAUACGUAGGGGGCAAGCGUUAUCCGGAUUCACUGGGCGUAAAGGGAGCGCAGGCGGCACGGCAAGUCUGGUGUGAAAACCCGGGGCUCAACCCCGGGACUGCAUUGGAAACUGCCGGGCUGGAGUGUCGGAGGGG